AGAAUAUGUAGCAAGAGAAUCUCAACCUAAAGAGUUGUGGGAAUGCCGCCUGAACAGAGAGACCUGAAGCACGACUAGGCAUUGGCCAAAUGAGGAGGAGGAAAGAAUAUGUCCGACAGAAGGAAGGACCUGUGGAAAGACGUGGCAGAAGGGUCACAGAAGAUCCAGGCUACUGUGAUCAAGGAACUGAAAGAAAACCCAUAGCGCUGGAGUACAGAGAGCAGAGGAAGACCGAGGAGACGAGGUCGAGAAGUCCUCUUAUGAACCCCGGGCUGCUAACGGCUGGACGCUUGGAGGACAGGAGGGAGGAACAGCACCAGGAAACUUCGGGCACGCAGGGGCCCUACUGAGAGGGACGGGGAAGAAACGGUCCCAAAUCCCAACCUCAAGAACGUCCCCGUGCCAUUUGCAUAUGUGACUCCUCCUGUUGCUCUUCAGAACAAGAGACAAAGGUUUGGUUUUG
rnacentral:lncRNA from 1 species